AGUAGGGAAUUUUCCACAAUGGACGAARGUCUGAUGGAGCGACACAGCGUGCAGGAUGAAGGCCUUCGGGUUGUAAACUGCUGUUAUAAGGGAAGAAAAAGCAGUAGAGGAAAUGCUAUUGCCUUGACGGUACCUUGUCAGAAAGCAACGGCUAACUAUGUGCCAGCAGCCGCGGUAAUACAUAGGUUGCAAGCGUUAUCCGGAAUUAUUGGGCGUAAAGCGUCUGUAGGUUGUAUGUUAAGUCUGGCGUGAAAACUUGGGGCUCAACCCCAAAUUGCGUUGGAUACUGGCAUGCUAGAAUUGUGUAGAGGUUAGCGGAAUUCCUAGUGAAGCGGUGAAAUGCGUAGAUAUUAGGAAGAACAUCAACAUGGCGAAGGCAGCUAACUGGGCACAUAUUGACACUGAGAGACGAAAGCGUGGGGAGCAAACAGGAUUAGAUACCCUGGUAGUCCACGCUGUAAACGAUGAUGAUUAGCUGAUAGUAGAACUAUCGGCACAGCUAACGCAUUAAAUCAUCCGCCUGAGUAGUAUGCUCGCAAGAGUGAAA
rnacentral:rRNA from 2 species